rnacentral:rRNA from 1 species
UACGGAGGAUGCGAGCGUUAUCCGGAUUUAUUGGGUUUAAAGGGUGCGCAGGCUGUUUUUUAAGUCAGCGGUGAAAGUUUGAGGCUCAACCUUAAAAUUGCCGUUGAAACUGGGAAACUUGAGUAUAGAUGAAGUAGGCGGAAUUAGUGGUGUAGCGGUGAAAUGCAUAGAUAUCACUAGGAACUCCAAUUUCGAAGGCAGCUUACUAAGGUAUCACUGACGCUGAGGCACGAAAGUGUGGGUAUCAAACAGG